rnacentral:lncRNA from 1 species
AAAUUGAUAAUAUUUUAUUAGUAGUAGUGACUAGAUAAUAUAUACACUACAUACAUAUGCAUACAUUUUUUUUAAUGGUAUUGUGUCAGGUGUGAAAAACUACAUGAUAAACAAAAAUGUGAAACAAAAGGGAACAACAACAUGAAUUAUCAAAAAUUACAAAGAAAAAUUUAGGUUGUAAGAAUUAAGCAUAUGAUAUGUACUACCAUAAUAAAAUGAUUAUAAUGAUACAUACCUUGAUAAAAUAUGGCUCAACUUCGAUGGAGUUAAGAAUGAAAUUAGAGCUUCGUGCUCUAUAAUGAUACAUACCUUAAUAAAAUAUGGCUCAACUUUGCUGGAGCUAAGAAUGAAAUUAGAGCUUCGGCUCAUAACGUGUUAUAAAAUGAAAGUAAUUUAGUAAAACAUGAACAAGAAAUAUAAGCAACUUAGUGAAACAAGAACAAGAAAUAUAGAUAGAGAGAAGGAAGAGAUUUUCUUCUUCAAUUGUUGU